CUUCUUGAUUUGUUAAGAAGUCUUGCCUGCCCACUGAUUAUUUUUGAAGGGCCGCGGUAUUUUGACCGUGCAAAGGUAGCAUAAUCAUUAGUCUUUUAAUUGUGGACUUGUAUGAAUGGUUUGACGAGGUAAAAACUGUCUCUUUUAUAUUUUAUGAAUUUUACUUUUGAGUUAAAAGGCUCAAUUUUUGAUGGGGGACGAGAAGACCCUAUAGAUCUUUACUCUUUGGUUACUGAUUUUUGUUAGUUGUUGAUUAUUAUUGGUUUGUCGAGAGUUUUGUUGGGGUGACAAGGGAAUUUGAUUAGCUUCCUGAUAAUUAUACUUUUGUUGAUGGAAUGUGGAUCCUUUAAUAUGGAUGUUAGAUUAAGAUACCUUAGGGAUAACAGCGUUAUUUUAUUUGAGAGUUCUUAUUGACAAUAAAGUUUGCGACCUCGAUGUUGGAUUAAGAUUAUAUUUUGGUGUAGUUGCUAGUUAUUAUUGGUCUGUUC
rnacentral:rRNA from 1 species